rnacentral:lncRNA from 1 species
GGGCAUUUUACCCGCCUAUUUGGAACAUUGCCUACGCAUUACCCCUACCGUGCCCCUAAUUUUCCCCAAAUAUGAACAAGGGGCCCUGUUUAGUUCACCGAAGAUACCGGAGAAACAAACGGUGAGCCCCGUAUGGCGAACAAAAUUAGGGGGAAAACAAGGGUUGAGUAAUUAUUUACAAUGUUAUAUUUAAAGAAAGCACGUGAAAGUGUCGCAACGCAUUACAUUAAAAAUUAGCCCUACUUUCACGGAAUUUGAACUUCGUACCUCCUGUAGUUGUUUUAGUAGUCUGGGAAACAUCUUGAAUAAAGGCGGUACAACACUUGGGAAUGCUUG